rnacentral:rRNA from 1 species
UACGGAGGGGGCAAGCGUUGUUCGGAAUUACUGGGCGUAAAGGGCUCGUAGGUGGCCAACUAAGUCAGACGUGAAAUCCCUCGGCUUAACCGGGGAACUGCGUCUGAUACUGGAUGGCUUGAGUUCGGGAGAGGGAUGCGGAAUUCCAGGUGUAGCGGUGAAAUGCGUAGAUAUCUGGAGGAACACCGGUGGCGAAGGCGACAUCCUGGCCCGUUACUGACGUUCAGGUACGAAAGCGUGGGUAGCAAACAGG